rnacentral:sRNA from 1 species
UAUUUUACUAGAUAAGACCCGCUUAAAUAGGCGGGUGUAAGAUAUAAAUUUAUUCAAAUAUUUAU